UGUAGGAGCCAGCCUGCUGGCGAUGGCGGGGUGUCAGGCACUUAUUGUUGACUGACACCCCUUCAUCGCCAGCAGGCUGGCUCCCACA
rnacentral:misc_RNA from 1 species